AGCUCUGUGGCGCAGCGGAAGCGCGCCGGGCUCAUAACCCGGAGGUCCUCCGAUCGAAACGGAGCAGAGCUA
rnacentral:tRNA from 12 species